AGUAUCUAAGCAACACCAAAAGAGUAGUUAUAGAUAAACACAGCAUGGUCAAUAACUCAAAAAGAACAAAUUAGGAAUCUCCCCUUGGUGUAGGGAUGGAAAUUAUCUGGUUCCACCCCUGGAUAUGAUCAACCUUCAUAGACUGUGCAUUAUACAUGUAGCCAUCUCUGCGACCUGCAAAGAUGAAAAGGGAAAGCAGGAGAUGGAAACUGGUCAGCAGCCUUCUGGUUUAUCAGCCACACUUACAAAGGUCAAAUGUGCAAAGCGUCAGAAGACAGUGGUUAGAGUGAGAUUCUACAUGCUCUCAAUGAAGAAUAAAGCAUGCAGGAAGAACCUUUCAAAAGGUUACAACCAGAGACCUGAAGGAAGCAAGGAAGAAAGCCACAUGGUUGUCAAAGAGAAGAGGAAAGGAGAUCACUAAGCUGGAUGACGUUUUCUGUUUCUUUGAAAACAGAGAAGAUGACAAGUUAGGGAGAGAUCAGAGGUCAUACUGUGAAGCACCUUUGGAUAAACGGCAGGGACUUUGGAUUUUCUUUUUGAAUAUAAGCAUAAUCCAUUGAAAGGUCUCAUGCAGGGAAGUGGCAAAACACUUUUAAAAUUUUUCAUCUUUUCUUUCUGAAGCAGAGUUCACUCUCCAUUUAUUUGUCUUCUUUGAUAUCUCUCAAUAGAAUGUUGCAGUUUUAGUAUUCUCCUAUUAAACAUUUGUUUAACUU
rnacentral:lncRNA from 1 species